rnacentral:misc_RNA from 1 species
AACGCACGAGACCUGCGGACCUGCGGAAGGAUCAUUACCGAGUUCAUGCCCUGAAGGGUAGAUCUCCCACCCUUGUGUAUAUUAUAUCUCUGUUGCUUUGGCAGGCCGCUAGGCUCUCAGAGCCUGGCCAUCGGCUCCCCAGCUGGUGCGCUGCCCGCCAGAGACCCCCCAAACUCUUGUUUGUCUAGUGUUGUCUGAGUACUAUUGCAAAUCAUUAAAACUUUCAGCAACGGAUCUCUA